rnacentral:lncRNA from 1 species
GCUCUGAUUCAAGCUUAAAUAUGAAAAAUCUAUCAAAUAUGUCAAAAAACGUCACUUUUCAGAUGGUUUUUGUCAAAAAUGAAAGUGGUCGCAUCCGUGUUCAUCCUCAAACUUUACAUAUGUUUUGUAUUAUCAUCAAAUACAACUUAAAUUUCAAUAUUAUGAAUGAACACGAAUGCGGCCACUUUCAUUUUAGACGGAAACCGUCUAAAAGUUAACCAAAAUGAUAAAAUUUUGAAGAUUUCAGUAAUUUAGCAUAACUUAAUGAUGCUAGAACGCGAUAUUUGUGCAUUGUAUUGUCAAAAACAGCUCAUAUUUAUGUAGGAGAAGCAUUUUACUUUCCAAAAUAUAGCUUAAAGAUUACAUUUUCACAAUUUUCUAAAACUGCUAUAUUUUGGGGCCAAAAAGGGGUCUUACUGAAC